rnacentral:rRNA from 1 species
AACGGGUGAGUAAUACGUGAGUAACCUGCCCUUGACUCUGGGAUAAGCCUGGGAAACUGGGUCUAAUACUGGAUACUACCUCUUGCCGCAUGGUGGGUGGUGGAAAGGGUUUUACUGGUUUUGGAUGGGCUCACGGCCUAUCAGCUUGUUGGUGGGGUAAUGGCUCACCAAGGCGACGACGGGUAGCCGGCCUGAGAGGGUGACCGGCCACACUGGGACUGAGACACGGCCCAGACUCCUACGGGAGGCAGCAGUGGGGAAUAUUGCACAAUGGGCGGAAGCCUGAUGCAGCGACGCCGCGUGAGGGAUGACGGCCUUCGGGUUGUAAACCUCUUUCAGUAGGGAAGAAGCGAGAGUGACGGUACCUGCAGAAGAAGCGCCGGCUAACUACGUGCCAGCAGCCGCGGUAAUACGUAGGGCGCAAGCGUUGUCCGGAAUUAUUGGGCGUAAAGAGCUCGUAGGCGGUUUGUCGCGUCUGCUGUGAAAGCCCGGGGCUCAACCCCGGGUCUGCAGUGGGUACG